AGAUGCCAUGAGUCCAAAGGAAUCAUCCCGCCCCCAGCAGACAAGCGUGGAGCCAGCCUGCUCCUCUGGCCAAAGCAUUCCACCCCCGGACCUCUCCUCCAGGAAGAAGAGAUGUGGAAGAAGAGAUGUGGGUAUGGUGGAUUCUGACCCUUGGCUCCCCAAAGUUCCACAGAGCCCAGCUCCCACUGAAGGCAUAUGACCCAGAUCCUGAGAACCAGAUGCACCGGCCUGAGCUUUCGUCAGAAGCAAGGACACACAGAACCUUUCUUAGAGGCAUCAUUAGAGGACCGGACAUGGUGGCCAGAGGCUGCAGGGACAGAAGUCCCAGGGCCAUGUCCAGGAACUGGGCUCAGGGGACCUCCUGGUGCCACCUGCAUAUCUGAGCCCAUGGAGUUCCUCUGGUCUAUUCAGUUCUCUCAUUUUAACUUAAUUUUGUUUUUGUAGGCUUUCUUAAAAAAUUGCCCAGUUCAUUUACCUGAUCACGUUUAUUGUUCAGAGUUGAGUGUGGUUCUCUCGUAAUUAUUUAGUCUCCACUGGGUCUGUGAUUAUAUUUCCUUUCUUAUUGCUAAUGCUGUUUGUGUUUGAUUUUCUUCUUUUUUUUCUUGGCCUGACUUAAAGAGGUUUGUCUGUUUUAUCUUUAUUUUAAAAAUAACCAACUGUUUAUUUUUACUUCUCCACUGUGAUUUCCCCCUUUAUUUCUUUAAUGUUUGAGUUUAUAUUUUUUCCUAUUUAUUUUGGCUUAAAUUUUAUUAUCAUUUUGCUAUAUCCUUGUGUCAAGCGCUUAAUUCAAUUAUUUUGUUAUUUUGACUUCUAAAAAAUCAGUUAAUUCUAUAAGUUUUCCUCUAUGUACUACAUUGAGCAAACUCCACAGAUUUCUGUAGGGGGCAUACUAAUUGUAAUUCAAUUUCGUUUUCCAUGUGUAGGUCCAGAUUUAUUUGAAUGUCCAAAUACUUAGAAUUGUAGGCUCUUGUUUUGUUAUUAAAGUCUGGUUUUAUUACAUUGUGUUUAGAGAAAAUAAUAUGGAGGAUUUUAAUUUUAGAUAAAGCAUUAAUAUCUUUUUUAUCCUCAAACAUGAUCAAUUUUUGACAGUGUUCCAAAAAUAUACUAUGAAAUAUAUAUUAUCUGUUGGAAUAGAGUAAUAUAUGUACACACUCUGCCAUGUGCAUAUGUUUAUAUAUCAUAUUUAGUCAAUGGUAGUUGUGUUAGCCAAGUCCUGGAGUCAUCUCGAUUCAAGUUUGUUGAGGCAGAAUUGUCAAUUUCGUCCUCAGCUCAGCUUCAACUACUUAACAGAACCUGAUUCAUAUAGGAAUUAAGUAAAUGUUUGUUGAAUGAAAUUCAGUGUCCCCAACCUUUUUGGCACCAGGGACUGGUUUUGUUGAAGACAGUUUUUCCAUGGAUGAUGGUAGGGGAUGGUUUCAGGAUGAUUCAAGUGCAUUACCUUUAUUGUGCACUCUAUUUCUAUUAUUAUUACACUGUAAUUAAUGAAAUGAUGGUAAAACUCACAAUAAUGUAGAAAUCAGUGGGAGCUCUGAGCUUGUUUUCCUACAACUAGAUGGUCCUCUCUGGGGGUGAUGGGAGACAGUGACAGAUCACCAGGCAUUACAUUCUCAUAAGGAGUGUGCAACCUAAUAUAGAUUCCUCGCAUGCACAGACCACAAUAGGGUUCGUGCUUCUAGGAGACUCUAAUGCCACCACUGAUCUGACAGGGGGUGGAGCUCAGGUGGUAAUGUGAGCCAGGAGGAGUGGCUGUAAAUACAGAUAACACUUCGCUCACUCACUUGCCAGUCACCUCCUUCUGUGUGGCCUGGUUCCUAAUGGGCCAUGGACUGGUACUGGUUCAUGUAGCUUUGCUAAAUUUUUCUGCAUUUAAAAUAUAUUUUAUUGAGAUAUUUCUGGAACUUUUGGGUGCCUAGAUUUGUGAUGUUAUACAGUGGUGCUCAUUUUAGGAAUAUUUAUUAAAUGCUUUUGGUGUGCUGGGCACUGUGCUAAGCACUAGAAAUACAAUGGCAGAUAAAAGAAUCUAGUGGCCUCCUGCACUUUAUGAUUCAUACAUUAUAGCUACAAAACAAACAAUAAACAAGCAGAUAAAUAAGUAUUAAUUUAAAAGAAUCCCGGUUGGUGCUAUGAAGGAAACAAAUGAGCAGCCUUUUCAAGGUAUGGAGGGGAUGGGACUGUUUGUGGGACGGUCAGGAAGGUCUCCCUGGGGAGGGCGCACUGAAGCCAAGGCCAGAGGACAGGUGGCCAGCCCCAUGAAAAGCUGGGGCAGGCUUCCAGGCAAAGAGACCAUGCCUUUUGUAAAUGUGGCAUCCCCUUCUCUCAUUUAAUGUGUUACCUUGAGUUCUACGUUGGAAAUACUGCUUCUGUCUUCUUUUUGUUAGUGCUUACAUGAUCCAUAUUUAUCUACACAAUUAUACAAUCCAUACAAUUAGGUAUUAUGAUGGUUAAUUUUAUGUGUCAAUGUGGUGUGCCUAAGGGAUGCCCAGAUGGCUGGCAGUGCAUUAUAUCCGGUGUGUCUGUGUGGGUGUUUUGGAAGAGGCUGGCAUUUGAAUCGUGGACUGAAUAAGAAGACCCAUCCUCACCAGCGCAGGCAGGCAUUGUCCAAUCCAUUGAGGGCCUGAAUAGAACAAAAAGGUGGAGGAAAAGUGGAUCUACCCUCUCCUGCUUGAGUGGAGACAUCCAUCCUCUCCUGCCCUUGAGCACUGGUGCUCCUGGUUCUCAGGUUUCCCUACCCAAACCGGGACUUAGGCCAUCAGCCACCGCCUUCCCCUUUUCUCAAGCCUUAGGGCUCAGGCUGCAUGUCACCACCGGCUUCCCUGCUUCCUAGCUGACAGAUGGCAGAUUGCAGAAAUUCUCAGCCUCCACAACCACGUGAGCCACUUCCCUGAAUAAGUCUCCUCUUCAUACAGUCCUCCCUUGGUGUGGGUGGGGAUUCGUUCCAGGACCCCCGAGUAUAUCAAACUCCAUGCAUACUCAAGUCCCGCUGUCAGCCCUGCAGAACCCGUGUGUAAGGAAAGGCAGGCCUCUGCAUAAGCAGCCUUCGCUUGCUGGGAAUACUGUGUUUUCCAUCAGAGUUUGGUUGGAAAAUCUGAGUAUAAGUGGAUCCAUGCAUUGAAACCUGUGUUGUUCAAGGGACAAGCAUCGAGGAUAGGCACAGGCUACUGGAGACAAAUAUGGGAAUGUGGCUAUGGGCAAGACAGUGCUGGUGGGGCAGGCAUCACUCCAACAAGCGGACAACAGCAGGGAUCAGUGAGUUGCCAGGGGUCUGGGCAUGAGUGCUGAACAAGUUGGAGGUCUUCCUUGGAGCCGGCCUCAGGCUGGGAGAGGAUUGUGGGGCCUGAGCGGCUCCAGCCUGGAUGGGUCCAGUCAGGAACUCUGCAAGAGGAGCUCACCUGUGCACACAGGGAUGCAUACUGGGAGAGAGGAGAAGCCGGGGUCAGAGGCUCUGGCCCUCUUGCACUGCAUGUGGGGAGCUGCAACUCAGGGAGGCUGCUGGGCAAUGGUCAGUGCCAACAGAGUGGAUGCAUCACAGCCAUGAAGCUGUGGUCAUGCAGAGCACAGCAUGAGAGCCUCUGACCGAGUUGUCUGACUGGGGUUGUGGAUGGAGUUGAUGGGCACAGGGAAGAGAGGAGGAGGGGCUUGCUUAGCAGAAAAGAUACUGAGUUGAGUUGGGGGCAUGUGGAAUUUGAGGUGCCUGUGGGAGACCCAUUUGAGAUGUUCAGUAGACAAGUGGGGGCACCCAGUUGAGCACUGGAAAUGGGGCUCUGGACCCUUGAAGAGAAGCCAGCAGUUGGGUCAUUGCAUGAGAGGUGGUUGUGGUGAUGAUGGGAACUGGUAAGAUUGCUCAGGUUAAAAUGAAGAAAACAAGCCAAGGAAAAACGAUGGUCAAGGCAAAUACAGUAAGGAUCGACGGCAUCCUUGAAGUACUUCUUUGUCUCCAAGAGCAUUCAUUCUAUUUCAUGUGCAAUGAGAAUUCUAGCAUUUUAGCACUGUUUAAAAUUAAUGACUCAGAGGGAAUUCUGGCCCCACACAAGCGCCUGCUAGAUGGGUAAGCCUCGCUGCCUGCCUUUCUGAAUUGCUUGUCGCACAAUUGGGCCAUUCACUGUGUUCCGGGCCCUCUGUGUGUUUCCUCUUUUCCAGCUUAGACCUAUUUGUUAGGGAAAACAAUCUACUUCUCAGGGUUUCAGUUUUAUGUACUGUUGAUCUAUUGCUUUAUUUCUCUAAUCUCUUUCCCACAGUCAAUAGUUUUUACUACCUGGAGCUGAAAACAGCCUACAGGAUACCAAAGCGUGAGUUUAUUUAGAACAAAGAAGACCCUCUGAUUCCAGUGAGGUCAGGGAGGAGGCCAAACAGUCAACCCACUUGCUUAGGACAUGUGGCCUAAACCGUAAUUUGACUUUGCGUUCACUUUUCAACUAGUUGCAUUGGCCUUAUGGUUUUUAUUAAACUGUAAAUCUCUUUACCACAUUGAAAAUUGUGGAACGCAUUUCUUCUUCUCGAGUCUGUGCAUCUGAAGGCCAUAGGUGGACAAGUGCACAGCGCCAGUGGAAAAUGGCUUUUCUGGAAUAUCAGGUUCGGUCCUCAGAGACUAAGAGCACUCCAUGUGGUGGGCAAUAAAUCUGAAUUCUGCUGCGUUUAAUUAAGGUAAUUUUCCUACUUAGCUCCACAUGUGGAGAUGAGAUUCAAUUUUACUGUGCCUUAAAGAACAUGUCCUUUCAAACGUGUCACCAGAAUGGAAUGCGACCACAGAUCGACAUGUGACGAGCCUCUAUCGCCUCAAGGGAGAAGAACUGUGGCAGGAACGCAAUCUGUCCCGUUCUCCUGCUCCUGUGGGUUUUUCCAUUGCAUGGAUAUGGGUUGUGAGGGAAUGGAGUCCCUCUACAGAGAUAUCAGAUGCAGAUGGAGGGCAGAGCAGGGUGAGAAGUUGAGCCAGAGGAGGAGACAGAUUGUUGGAUAAUGUUUUCUUGCUAGGUACAGUGUCAGUGAAUAAAUAUUUUGAUCAUCAGAAAGACCAAGGAUCCAUAUUCCUGACUCUUUUGCAGAAUAAUUAAUAAACGUUAUGGGAAUCACCUAGUAUCUCCAUAUCAUCCAUACUGUGAGGGUUGAUUUUAUGUGUUGACCAGGUUAAGGAUGCAGACAGCUGGUCAGACAUUAUUUCUGGGUGUGCUCGUGAGUGUGUUUCCAGAAGAGAUGAGCUUUUGAAUCAGUGGACUGAGUAAGAAGGUCCGCCCUCACCCAUGUGAUUGGGCACCAUGCAAUCUGUUGAGGGCCCAAAAAGAACCGAAAGGCAGAAGGGAAAAUUCUCUCUUUCUCUCCUUGGGCUGGGUUGCCCCUUUUCUCCUGCCUGCAGACACAAGCACUUUUGGUUCUCAGGCCUGCAGACUCAGACUUGAACCUACACUGUUGGCUUUCUUGAUUCUCAGGCCUUCAGGUUUGGGCUGAAUCACACCACUGGCUUUCCUGGGCUCCAGGGUGUCGAUGGCAGAUCGUGGGGUCUCUCAGCCUCCACAAUCCCAUCAGCCAAUUCCCAUAAUCAAUCUCUUUUUAUCUAUAUCUAUAUAUAGAUAUCUCUCUCUCUAUCUUAUUAUUCUGUUUCUCUGGAGAAUGCUAAUACAGAGUUCUUGAAAAGACUCUGAAAACAACCACAUCACCACCAAGGGAACAUGGAGCCUCCUGGGUCACGAGAGGCCUGAGAGGCAUGGUGGACGUGCCUGAGUUUCCUCUACAGGGUUCUUGUUAAGAGGUGGCCCAACCCAUGCUUGGCCACGUUGAGAAAAAGGAAACGCAUCCUCCCAAAGGAAGGCCCGUUCCACUGCUGGAGAAUUCAGGCUACUGAAAGCUUCUUGCUUAUGUGAUUUUGCCCAAUUCCGUUUCCGAGUCUGUCCCUUUUGUUCUAGUCCCUUCUUUUAGAGGAACAUGGAGCAAUAACAAUGACUCUUACCGAGGCCAAUUCUCUAUUAGGCUCCAGGCAGCCAAGGUGACAAAGGAUGUGUAUCCUCAUCCUUCAGAAGGUGAUAGUUGAGAGGAGCGUGGGAGAAAACCAUAAGCCCCCCAAGGUUAGGGUCACAUCUAUUCAUCUGUAUUUUGGUGACUAGCAGAGCACCUGGCAAAAAGUAGACUCUUCAGAUAGUUUUGAGAGGCCCGGGAAACACAAGAACUACAUUACCCUUCUCUAGUUACUCUUCUAUCCUGUUGUCAAACUUGGCCUCACCAGUGAAAACCUGCCUCACCUUGGUGGCUACUCCAGCUAAGCUCCUGCUUCCUGCCCUCACAGCUGGCUUACAGCAUCAAGCCCCAUGGGAUGAGUGCUCCAUCCUGACUGCCAUGUCUGCACUGUGUCUGCACAGUGUCUGUGAGGCCCCAUCUGUCAUGACCCGAUGCUGGCCAGCCUGGCCUGGGCAGAGCUCCGAGGAGCAUGUGAGUGCUUGAACACAUGCACAAUGCAACCCCCACCAUGGAGUCUAUGCUUCUUGGAUGCUCACUCCACGAGGUGAGGGGCAUGGGAUAGUUGUCUCUGCUCUGUGUGAACUCAGUCUGGCCUGGUAGAUAACACAGACAUGCAAGGCAACUGUGGUAAGUGACAGAGAAGCUGCCAGUUGGCCCUGUAGUUGAGAGGAAGAGUAAUGUGCAGUGUCAGCGUGCUGUCCAAGGAGUUCUUGGCAUGGCUGGAGGCACUUCACACCUGAAGAUGGCUGGUCAGACCACUGGAACAUCCCUCGUUAGGCACCAUGUGUCAGAAGCCUCAUUAGUGUAUCAAGGAAUGCUCAGGCUUCCUGGAGGAUUCAUCCAUUCACAGUUGCUAAAAGGAAGCCUACCGUGUGCUAGAUGGGGCUGGACCAGGCCCUCCACCUUUGUGACCUUGUCCUGCUGUUUAAGGAGUCCAGUGCAUUCUGCAUUGGCGAUUACCUAGUUAGGGUGACCAGAGUGAGCAAAUAAAACACAAGAUGCCCAGUUAAAUUUGAAUUUUAGAUAAACAGUAAAUUUUUCAGUUGUACUACACAAAGGAACAUAUUAAAAUUCUUUGCUGUGGAGGCAAAUAUAAAACUAGGUAGAAUAGGCAAGGUGUGGUGGCUCAUGCUUGUAAUCCCAACAUUUGGGAGGUCGAGGUGGGAGGAUGGUUUGAGUCCAGGAGUUUGAGAGCAGCCUUGGCAACAUAGACCCCAUAUCUACAAAAAAAAUUAGCUGGUGUGGUGGCAUGCCCCUGUAGUCCCAGCUACUCAAGAGGCUGAGUCAGGAGGAUUGUUUGAGCCCAGGAGGUGGAGGCUGCAGUGUGCUGUGAUCAUGCCACUGCACUCUAGCCUAUGUGGCAAAGCAAGACCAUGUCUCAAAAAAAAAAAAAAAAAAGAAAGAAAAAGAAUAAGAAAAUAGGAUGUAAGAAGGAAGAGAGAGAGAAGUCACAGUUACCAUUGCUAGUGGGAGGUGACUAGGUAGAAAACUCCAGGUUGGCUAACCUCCCUUCAGCUUUGCCAAGAGACCAGUCUAUGCCAUGGCCAGUGAUGGACCCAGCCCAAGGUGCACACAGGUGAUUGGGUUGGGGAGAGUGUGGAAGACCAAGUCUGGUUUUCCUUCCCUUCAGAACCCACUACAGAAAUGAACAGUGGGGGACUCCAGUUCUCACCCUGGAGCCAAGAUGGCAAGGUGACAGCAUGUCAUAACAGCUGUUCAGAGCUAGGACUCAGGGAUCAAGCUGAGCUGCACACCAACUGGGGUGCUGUGGGCGAGCAAUCCCUUAUUAUAUCUAAGGCAGAUAAGAGAAGGAGUUAACCCCUAAGGAUCUUGUAAGGAUUAAAUUAGUUAAUGUAGGGAAAGGUGUUAGUUAAAUUCCUGGUCCAUAGUAUCUAUUUUAUUUUAAUUCCUAAGAAAAUAUAGUAUCUCUGUGUCUGCUUCAUCGACCAGACUGUAUUGCAGAUGGUUUAAGACCAGGCAGCAAAUUUGAGGUGGAGUCAUGGUUAUCAGAAUGGCUGCCCAGACCACAAAGCUGAUUUAUCUCAAUCAUAACAGCAGCAAAUUCCUGUUAUUGUAGUGAAUCACAGCAUGUAAGCGCACAGAUGCAGGCGCCGGGGUUCAGAGGGCUGGGUUGUGUGGGGAGGGUAACGAAAAACAGACACUUGCAGGGCCCUAACAAUGUGUGUAGCAACUGAACCUGCAGCCUGCUUACACAAAACAGGCCUUAAUGAAACUCAGUUUCAAAAUGGAAUAUUUUUCCUAAAUGAUAAGGUAUUGCAUAUGGUUCUUUUCCCAUUGUGUAGUAAUUCCUUCUAAAGCAAACAUUUUAAAGAUUUUAACUGAGGUUGGAAAACUAAAACUUGCCUCAGUAUAAAAAUGUCGAAGCCAUCUGCUAGAAAAUCACAGCUCUGCGAUAUAAAACACCCAGAGCUGUGUUGCUCAAACUAAUUUAAUCACAAAAUACCAUUUCCUUGAUCCGAAGGGAAACAUUUCUACUUGGCCACUAGAGCUUUCUGGAGAAAGGCACUUAUAUUUGCAGUAAGGUAUAUUAGUAAUUUUGAAUUUCAAAGAGAAAACAGAGCAGGGAUUUUGGAAAACAUAUGUUGAAAGGGUAAUUUCAAUUCUUUGCAGAUGAGAAAAGUUUUUGUUAAAACAACUGACAGACACUGAGAAACAUGGCCAUCAGUUUGAAGGAAAGUAAUUGAGUUGUGCAGUUUGCAUUUUAUUUUGCACACGUUUAACAAUUAAAAGCUUUUCUGUACUAUGAGAACAAAACCCCCCAAACACCAAUGCAAUGGCAGAAAGUUGGGAGUCAAAUCAGGCAGCACACACACGAACACUGUGUUCACAUGAUGAGGACCACAUUUUUGAGACAUUUUCUGAAAAGAACCUGUAUAUGUGUGUGUGUGUAUGUAUAUAUUCUUUUUUCCUGCCAGAAUCUCUUGUUGAAUGAUCAUCAAGUUAGUUCUGGAAAAUAGGUUCCAAUAUUGCUCCAUUCAUUGGCAUAGGUUGACUUUAUCUUAUUCCAAUUUAAUUGGCAGCUGUUUUCUUAGAUAGUUUUGCAUAAAAUGGUGCUCAGAGAACAAGUAGAGUUUUAAACAUGACACAGUCGUGUAUUUGAGGAUGUUUAUGUUAUAUAUGUGCUUGUUAAUUUAGUAGUUAUGAGUUUAAUAAUAACUUUGAGCUCUUUAGACAUGGAUCCUCAUAUAUAUUAACAAAAUCAGCUGUGUGCCUUAACCAACAGUGAGCAUAUUUUUUAAAAUGGGCCUCUGAAUUGAAAAUUUAAAAAAACCCUUCAGCAUCCUAUUAGGAUUGAUUAACCCACAGGAGGGUAAUCCUGGUAAGCAAACGUAACCAAGAUUCUCCUUCCCCAGUGAUUCCAAGUGCAGCCUGGCUCUCCUGGUCAGGUGCUUCCUUUACUCAAUAUUUCCUGAUCUGUUCCUAGAUCCUAAUACCACCCUCUGCGUCAACCUGUGAAUGCAUCCUCACUACCAGGGCUCAGGACUUGGAGCCGGGAUUUUGCUGACAUGGUCUUUUCUCUGGUUGUCACCUUCCAUUUCUUCUUUGGUUUGCCUUUCAUUUUAAUGCCAGAUUUUCUAAGUGUAAGAAAGGAGGGUGGAGAGUGGGCAGAAGUCAUUGUUUCCAUCAUGAAAGUCAACAUCAGUAUUUCCUGUCCUGGGGACAAACCAGUGCCUCAUGUUUCUGGAAACGCUGCAGCAUUUAACUUCAAUUUUAAUCUGGAUAACGCCAAAGCUUUUCCUCAAAUUCACCCCUGGAGUCAGCUCAUAGAUGCUCUGAUUUUGUCUACCAUUGCUCCUCCUUAAUAUCUCUCGCACAGGUGCCAUUGACCUUUAGAUGGGCUGUACGGUGUGGGGUUCGGUGCCAUGGAUCUGCUUCUCCAGGGACCAGGAUCUUGAGAUCUUCAGGCUGGGUUUCCAUGGAGGCAUGGAGCUGCUUUUCCUCCUUCAUAACUGCACUCAAAACAGCCCUGUUGCUCUAGAAUGGAGACUUGGGCAACUCCUUCUGGCACAGAUUUGUUCACCUCAGGUGAAAUUCAGAUAGAAGCAAGCUGCAGGCAGUUUCACCUCUAAGUCCAUGGGUUCUCAACUGGUAACGUCCUCUUAUGGAUGUUAGCCCAUGAGGUCAAUCCUGUAGCAAUCUAAGGCUUGAGAAAAAUUAAUCUUCUGGAAAAUUCCAAGAAUACAUCUUAGGGAAACUGGCUCUACCUUUAUGACUUGGAUCACACAAGGAUAUGCUUUUCAUCUUGGACUAGAACUGAGAGCCAAUGGAUGUGUUAUCUAAAACUAUCCCAGUGUGUUCACUAUACAGAGGAAGAUUCUGAGAUUCAAGACUCAAGACUGAAGAAGAUCAUUAUUUUUAUUAUUUUAGUCUUAUGCACAAAAUGAUAUCUACUGAAUAAGCAGGUUUUUAAUAGGUGACUUAUAUAUGUUAGCAAAAAUAAACACUUUGUCUUUUAGAUCUAUUCUAGUUUUUCAGUAGCUGUAGACUUAAGUGCUAACUUUUAGCCCAUAGGAUAAGAAGAAACCAAGUCCUAAAAGUAGGCCAGCACCAGGGUUCAGGCCUCUGACUUCAAGCCAAGGGCUCAUCAUCUUGAAUUGCGCACGAAUUUUUACACAGCGCCAAAGGAAACUGCCUGUACUUACUGUUGUAGGUGCUUUGCUGGAUUCAGGAUGCAGACAAGGUCCACGCAUUGUGGUUGGAACAAUGACUAGAUCUUUACCUGGUCCACAGCCCUCCCCAGUCUGGCUGCAACCUCUCAUGAGGCUGAGCUCACCAUGAACCCCUGCUCUAGGCGUCUGCAUAGUGUUCUGUUUGUCCCCGUGACUGUCCACCUCUUCUUUGGCCUGUUGGCAUGCGCUUAUCCUCCAGACCUCAGUCCAAAGUUCAGUCCCGGAGCAGACACAACCCUGUUUGCAGAGAGCCAACAUUCUAAUUGACAGUGCGUGGUGGGAAACAGUGAACCGAGGGAAAGAGUGCCAGUGUUAGAGAGCCACAGUGCAGUGAAGAAGAGAAGGCAAGAGGAUGUGAUGCAAAAUCACAGGACCUGGCUUCCAGACCAUUCUGCUUCCAUGAGAACAUUUCAGUUGAGAACCGGAUGGCAUGAAACUUUAUUGAAGUAUCAGAGAAUCAUUUUCUUAAGAGAUGGUAAUGGAAUCCAUGCAUUUGAAAUAAAUCAACAGAAAAAAAUGAUUCAGAAGAGAGGGAACUAGCCUAAGGACAACUGUGAUAUUGUGAAAUAUAUAUAUGGGUCUUCAUCCUGUGUCCUGGCAUACCUAAAACCCUUGGAAUAUCCAAAGGCAUGCUUUUCAUGUGCAAAUGAUUGACUGAUGUCUUCAGGAUGGAGCCAAUCACCAGAAAUGUCAAAGCAUAAUUAGAGUGUUGGGACUUUCAGCCAUACCCCACACCCCUGACCUUUGGGGAGGAGAGACGGGCAGAAGGUUAAGUCCAUCAACAAUGGCCAGUGAUGUAAUCAGUCAUGCCUAUGUAAUGAAGCUUCCAUAAAAAUCCCAAAGGACUGGGUCUGGAGAGCUUCUGGAUAUCUGAGCACAUGGAGGUUCCUGGAGGGUGGUGCCUGGGGCAGUCAUGGAAGCAUCUCAUCCCUUCCCACAUGCCUUGCCCUAUGCAUCUCUUCAUCUGUAUCCUUUAAAAUAUCUUUGUAAUAAACUGCUA
rnacentral:lncRNA from 1 species